AAUUAAAUACUGGUGUUAAAUUCAUGAUAUUUAAUUUAAAAAAAGAAAUUAAAAAUCCAUUGAAUUCAUUUUGGUGACAAAAUGACAGGUGAUGGGGCAUUAACUUACAUUAAAAAAUAAAAAAUUAUACAUAUAUUUGAAUUUAUAAACUUAGAAAAACCCACCAACAUUUAAACUACAUCAUCGUCUUUAAUUUGAUCGGGCGUGGUAUACCUUAUAAUACGUCACAAGCAAUGGCGCCGGCAAAUGGCGCCGGAUGUAUUGGAUUUUUCUAUGAAUUGGCUGUAUAACGGUAACGGUACCAAUUCAGUGUACCAUUUUUACCAGAUAACCAUUUCUCAACCCAUCUAAGAGGAUGCCCUGGGAAGCAAUCAACAGUACUGAUGGAGAUGAGAGAAGGAGAAAAGUGAGAUUGCAUUUGAUGAGAUUGAUAUGACAAUGGUACAUGCACCAGAGCCAACUGUCAAACAGCACUCCAGCCAGCAACAUUUUCCUUUUGUAUUCUUUGACUUGGAAUCAAAAGGAUUAGCUAGAGAUUCUCAUAUUACACAGCUGCCGUGUGUGGUGAAGAAAAGUUUUCCACCUAUACCUUUCGAAAAAUACCUAUAACAGCAGAAGACUCAGAAAUAACAGAAAUCGAAAAUGUUAAUGGAAAUAUUUUUAGCAAAAAUGAAAAAUGUAGAAGUCAAUCCUUGGAAAAUUGAUGCUCCUCUUAAUUUUGUUUCAAAAUUUCAAACUAAAGUAAUUCUGCAUUUACAAUAGCAAUGUAUGAAUGUUAACAAAUAUGAAUGUUUAUUGUAUACUAUACUCAAUUUAACAUGUUCUGUUUAUGAGAGAGAGAGAGAGAGAGAGAGAGAGAGAGAGAGAGAGAGAGAGAGAGAGAGAGAUUAUUGCAAGAAUUGGAAAGUAACUGCAAAAAGUAUGUGCAAACUGCAUCAGUAAUGAUGUACACGAUGGUAAUAUUGUUCUCUGAAUUUUGAUACAAAUUAAUGUACCAAAUGAAAUUAUCCUAUUAAAUUUCCAUUUUCAUUUCAAAUGAAAAUGAUUGAAUUUCAA